AAAGAGAAGCGAAGCGGUGACGUGGAGCAAAACUUAGAAAAGCAGUCUCAGUUCGGAUUGAAGGCUGAAAUUCGCCUUUAUGAAGCCGGAAUUGCUAGUAAUGGCAGGUCAGCAUACUGCCGUGAAUACGUUCCCGGGCCUUGUACACACCGCCCGUCACACCAUGAGAGUUGGAAAUACCCGAAGCCUGUGAGCUGACCGUAAGGGGGCAGCAGUCGAAGGUAGAGCCAAUGAUUGGGGUGAAGUCGUAACAAGGUACC
rnacentral:rRNA from 1 species